AGAAUCAACGCUGGCGGCGUGCCUAACACAUGCAAGUCGAACGAGAAAGUGGAGCAAUCCAUGAGUACAGUGGCGCACGGGUGAGUAACACGUGACUACCUACCCUCGAGUGGGGAAUAAACCUCGGGAAACCGGGGCUAAUACCGCAUAACAUCUACGGAUCAAAUGCGAAAGCAGCUUGAGGAGGGGGUCGCGGCCGAUUAGCUAGUUGGUGAGGUAAUGGCCCACCAAGGCAAUGAUCGGUAGCCGGCCUGAGAGGGCGCACGGCCACACUGGAACUGAAACACGGUCCAGACUCCUACGGGAGGCAGCAGUGGGGAAUUUUGCGCAAUGGGGGAAACCCUGACGCAGCAACGCCGCGUGGAGGAUGAAGCCCCUUGGGGUGUAAACUCCUUUCGAUCGGGACGAUUAUGACGGUACCGGAAGAAGAAGCCCGGCUAACUUCGUGCCAGCAGCCGC
rnacentral:rRNA from 1 species